rnacentral:rRNA from 1 species
GACGAACGCUGGCGGCGUGCUUAACACAUGCAAGUCGAGCGGUAAGGCCCUUUCGGGGUACGACGAGCGGCGAACGGGUGAGUAACACGUGGGUGACCUGCCCUCCAGCUCUGGGAGUAAAGCCUGGGAAACUGGGUCUAAUACUGGAUAUGACUCCACGGUGCAUGUCGUGGGGUGGAAAGCCUUGUGCGGCUGAGGAUGGGCCCGCGGCCUAUCAGCUUGUUGGUGGGGUGAUGGCCUACCAAGGCGACGACGGGUAGCCGG